rnacentral:rRNA from 1 species
AACAGGAUUAGAUACCCUGGUAGUCCACGCUGUAAACGAUGUCGACUUGGAGGUUGUGCCCUUGAGGCGUGGCUUCCGGAGCUAACGCGUCAAGUCGACCGCCUGGGGAGUACGGCCGCAAGGUUAAAACUCAAAUGAAUUGACGGGGGCCCGCACAAGCGGUGGAGCAUGUGGUUUAAUUCGAUGCAACGCGAAGAACCUUACCUACUCUUGACAUCCAGAGAAUUUGCUAGAGAUAGCUUAGUGCCUUCGGGAACUCUGAGACAGGUGCUGCAUGGCUGUCGUCAGCUCGUGUUGUGAAAUGUUGGGUUAAGUCCCGCAACGAGCGCAACCCUUAUCCUUUGUUGCCAGCACGUAAUGGUGGGAACUCAAAGGAGACUGCCGGUGAUAAACCGGAGGAAGGUGGGGAUGACGUCAAGUCAUCAUGGCCCUUACGAGUAGGGCUACACACGUGCUACAAUGGCAUAUACAAAGAGAAGCGAACUCGCGAGAGCAAGCGGACCUCAUAAAGUAUGUCGUAGUCCGGAUUGGAGUCUGCAACUCGACUCCAUGAAGUCGGAAUCGCUAGUAAUCGUAGAUCAGAAUGCUACGGUGAAUACGUUCCCGGGCCUUGUACACACCGCCCGUCACACCAUGGGAGUGGGUUGCAAAAGAAGUAGGUAGCUUAACCUUCGGGAGGGCGCUUACCACUUUGUGAUUCAUGACUGGGGUGAAGUCGUAACAAGGUAACC